UACCUUACAGGCUGCCAUACUCAUAUUGUAGAGAUCACGAUGAAGGAACUUUUUCAGAGUUUGGGACGAUAUAAGUUCUACGCAAAAGCUGGAAAAAACUGGAUUCCAACAGCAGGAGCAUGGACAGCUGGACUGGGAGUUGCUUUUUUGUUUCUUACUGACUGGAAGGUGGUUACCCAAAGAAUUCCAUUUAUUAAGGACAAAUAUGAUCAUGAAAUUCCCAAGUGAGGGGCAGCAAGAUUUUCAAUGACAUUUCUCAUGUUGAUGUUAAAAAGGUCAAAAAUUGUAUCUUUAAAGAAGGAGAUGUUUACCACUAAGCAACUUGUCAUGUUGUAAAGGGUAUUACCUUGUUAAGUAUCACUGAUUUUCAAAAUAAAUGAUACAUUUUUAUUUUAAUGGC